CUUUCCCAUGCCUGGCAGAGAUUUAAGUGGAGCCGGGGAGUUCUCCGUCCCACUGUGUAAUGAAUACAGCCUCGGUGAGAUAAACACUGCCUUGUUUAGCUUCAUGUCUGCCCGUGUAGCCCAGCCAGGCCUGAUAACACGGACCAUCGGAUGUUGUCAGGACCUGGGAGGCAGACACACUGGCAGCAAGGGUUUUUUUUUUCUCCUUUCAAAGUCUACAAACUUUUUUUUUUUUUUUUUUUUUAAAGGGCUGGGCCAGUUAAUUGUAGAGUGUGAGUGAAAACUAUCAGUAGUACCAUCAAGGAAAGAGACACAGGGGGAAAUCUGGAAAGAAUGUGAACAGUUUUUUUUUUGUGCAGAAAAUUGUUUCUCCAGCGUUAACCGCCAGGGGUAGAGGCUGUCACUCUCUGUAUCGAACUUUCUGAUUCCAUUCCACUGAGAGGGCUGCUUUCAGACGCACUGUAUGGAUCCCGGCAGAUAAAAACACUAAGAGCUUCUUCUGCUUGCUUCUCUCACCAUCACUUUGGAGUCGCAGAAUCCGAAAUGCAGAUUCACCGCUCGCAUCCAGUUCAAGACUCUUGUACUAGCCUACAGAUGCCUUGACCAGACUGCACCCAGCUACCUCCAGACCCUCAUCUCUCCCUACACCCCCACUCAACCUCUCCGCUCCGCCUGCACUAGAAGACUGGCUCUACCGCCGCUACGCUCCCCUGCCUCCAGAGCCCGCUUCUUUUGACCUUCCUACAGAUGUCAGGACUGCCCAGUCUCUGACCACAUUCCGGCGCCUCCUCAAGACUCACCUCUUCAGAAAGCACCUGUAGAACUCUUCUGUUCUUCGCCUGGGACACUUACCACCCUUCCUUAAAUGCGCUUUACUUGCUCUUAUCUGCCCCCUAUUUUACUGCAUUUAAUCCUGUAUGUCAGAGUACUGUAAUCUGCCAAGUGUUUAAUCUGUAGUAUUUUGUAUUUAAUCAUAUCCUGAUGUAGCUAUCACUGACACUUAUCUGCUGUAUCAUUGAAUUGUAUUUUGUCACACUUGUACUUGCUUGAACCAAAGUCAUUGUAUUUAUCUUGCUCUUAAUUGUAUUAUUACUUGUACUGUGAUACUUGAAAUGUAUUUGCUUUCGAUUGUAAGUCGCCCUGGAUAAGGGCGUCUGCUAAGAAAUAAAUAAUAAUAAUAAUAAUAAUAAUAAUAAUUCAUCUUUUUCUGGCAGAAUAGCAUCACUUAUUAACUUUACUUCAUCACACAUUACAUUGAGAAGAGAGUGGUUUGCGGGGUAAAGGGCAGCCAUACUUCCUUGCUUAGUAUAUCUAUUGUUUAAACAAUUACAGUAAAAAAAAGUCCCCUGUGUAUUCAGACAUAUUUUAGUAAUAACUGAAGAGCAUCAACAACUUCCUUGGAAAAUAAAAGCGUAGAACGUUUUAGUUUAUGUCUAAAUA